rnacentral:rRNA from 1 species
CCUACGGGUGACAGCAGUGGGGAAUAGUGGGCAAUGGGCGCAAGCCUGACCCAGCAACGCCGCGUGAAGGAAGAAGGCUUGCGGGUUGUAAACUUCUUUUGACAGGGAAGAGGAGAAGACGGUACCUGUCGAAUAAGCCACGGCUAACUCCGUGCCAGCAGCCGCGGUAAUACGUAGGUGGCAAGCGUUGUCCGGAUUUACUGGGUGGAAAGGGCGGGUAGCCGGGUGGACACGUCAGAGUUGAAAUCCUGCGGCUUAACCGCAGAACUGCCUUUGAAACUGUUGAUCUUGAGUACUGGAGAGGCCGCCGGCAUUCCUAGUGUAGCGGUGCCCUGCGUAGCUCUUAGGAG